UGCGCCUACGGGGGGCAGCAGUGGGGGAUAUUGCACAAUGGGGGGAACCCUGAUGCAGCGACGCCGCGUGGGUGAAGAAGCGCCUCGGCGCGUAAAGCCCUGUCAGCAGGGAAGAAAAUGACGGUACCUGACUAAGAAGCCCCGGCUAACUACGUGCCAGCAGCCGCGGUAAUACGUAGGGGGCAAGCGUUAUCCGGAUUUACUGGGUGUAAAGGGAGCGUAGACGGCGGUGCAAGCCAGAUGUGAAAGCCCGGGGCUCAACCCCGGGACUGCAUUUGGAACUGUGCUGCUAGAGGGUCGGAGAG
rnacentral:rRNA from 1 species